rnacentral:rRNA from 1 species
UACGUAGGUGGCAAGCGUUGUCCGGAUUUAUUGGGUUUAAAGGGUGCGUAGGCGGCCCUGUAAGUCAGUGCUGAAAUAUCCCGGCUUAACCGGGAGGGUGGCAUUGAUACUGCGGGGCUAGAGUACAGAUGAGGUAGGCGGAAUUGACGGUGUAGCGGUGAAAUGCUUAGAUAUCUGGAGGAAUACCGGUGGCGAAGGCGGCAUCCUGGACCGACAUUGACGCUGAGGAGCGAAAGCUAGGGGAGCAAACGGGG